UAACUAAUUUGAGAAAUUUGGAUAUCAGGACCAUUAAAACCUAGAUUUAUUACCAGAGAUUUUCCAAAUGGAAAAUAAUAUCUCUGGCAGAUUUUUUAUUGGACAAUUAAAGCUCAGUGGUCACUGCAAUACUUAUCUUGUUUCAUAGUGAUAUUAUGACUCUCAAAGUUAUAAACAGCAUGUUCUUAAAUGGAGAAAACAUUAAAUAUAGCACAGUGAGCUCUUCUGUUUGUAUUGGGGGGCAGUUGUGAUCUUAUGGUUAGAGAGUCAGACUUCUAACCCAAAGGUUGCGGGUUUAAGUCUCGGUACUGGCAGGGAUUGUAGGUGGGUGGAAUGAAUGACCAGUGCUCUCUUCCACCCUCAAUCUCACGACUGAGUUGAGACCCUUGAGCAAGAACCAAACCUACAUAGACUCCCCAGAUCAAUCAUUUAGGCCACGUUGAAGACUUACCUGACCUAUCCUCACUACAAAAUCUCUAGACAUUAAUAACUGAUGCUCACAUCAAAGAUCUCAAAUCCAGCAAUGUCCAGCACACCAAUGAAGAACUGUCUAGGCUGCUUUGUGUCCAGCAUCUCAUUGAUACGGAC